AUUGAACGCUGGCGGCAUGCUUUACACAUGCAAGUCGAACGGCAGCGCGGGGGCAACCCUGGCGGCGAGUGGCAAACGGGUGAGUAAUGUAUCGGAACGUAUCCUGUAAUGGGGGAUAACCAGUCGAAAGAUUGGGUAAUACCGCAUACGCACGAGAGUGGAAAGUAGGGGAUCGCAAGACCUUACGUUAUAGGAGCGGCCGAUAUCUGAUUAGCUAGUUGGUGGGGUAAAGGCCUACCAAGGCGACGAUCAGUAGCUGGUCUGAGAGGACGACCAGCCACACUGGGACUGAGACACGGCCCAGACUCCUACGGGAGGCAGCAGUGGGGAAUUUUGGACAAUGGGCGAAAGCCUGAUCCAGCCAUGCCGCGUGCAGGAAGAAGGCCUUCGGGUUGUAAACUGCUUUAGUCUAGGAAAAAGGGGUGCGAGGUUAAUACCCUCGUGCUUUGAUGGUACUGGAAGAAUAAGCACCGGCUAACUACGUG
rnacentral:rRNA from 1 species